GGAAAACCUCCGGAAGCGCGUCAUCUGUUGUUGGGAAAAAAAGUUUUUAGAGGGAGGGGGAAACCUCCGGAAGCGCGCCAUCUGUUGGAGGGGAAUAAAAAAGCAGAGAGAGGAGUCCGUCACAAUUUCUAAGGCACAGACACAAGAUGGAUUUCCUUCUGCAGCCCCGCAGCGGUCCUGUGUCCGAUGAGAUCUGCUCUCCCAAAGAAGAAGGUUUUGAAUAUGACAUAUUCAAAUACAGCAUAUUUACUAUGGAAGGCAUCGAUCCGGACCUUAUGACCCUACCGGAAAUACUCCGGAAGUGUCUAGUCAUUUUUAGACCUGUUGCAUCAUGUUCCCUAACCACAGCGGUGAUGCAGCAGAUGAUUCUGCGAUGAAAAGAAGAACUUUCUAUCCGCUUGUAACCUUUAAGAUACACCAUAGCUUGUGAUGAAAAGAAGAACUUUCUAUCCGCUUGUAACCUACAGGCUGCCUAUGUGUAAAAAAUUGAAUAAAUAUCGCUUAGUGAAUACUACUUUUCCUUGUGAGAGUCCUUUUUUACAAGAGACUGAAAAAACAAACCAGCGACAGGCGAUCUUGUUUCACACACACACCCACCUCUGUGGGAAAGAGUCAACCAUGAGAGUUUUGUCAACAGCAAUUGUCCAUUUGGCAAAACAAAUAUCCGUCUCAAAGCCGUAUUUUACCGUUGCAGAAAACAGACGGCGUUCGCAAGAAGGCACACACACACACACACACACACACACACACACACCCCGCGGGCCAAGGAGGAGUGAGACAGCAGAUAUCAGUUUUUUUUUGUUUUUUUGUUUUUUUUUUUUCUCAAUGCUUAUAUCCUAUAACACGCCCUCCAAAAAAAUAUUAUUAUUAUUAAAACAUCUAUAUGAGGUAGGUUUUGCGCAACCUGCUCCUUGUCAGACCAAAGUAGAGAGUUUUUUCUUCAAUACUUUAACAAUAAGUUUUCUCAAUAGAUAGAAAAUGUUGACGCUGAGGAGUCAACAUCCGAUAUUAUCAUUGCUUGUAACCCGGUUUUUCACAUCUCCCCAUAAAACUAGUCUUAGCGGGGAAAAAAAGCUCAUAUUCGAAUAAGUUUAUUAAAGCACCCCCCUCUGUGGGAAAGAGUCAGCCAUGAGCCGAGUUUUGUCAACAGCAAUUGUCCAUUUGGCAAAACAAAUAUCCGUCUCAAAGUCGUAUUUUACCGUUGCAGAAAACAGACGGCGUUCGCAAGAAGGCCUACACACACACACACACACACACACACCCCGCGAGGCAAGGAGGAGUUUUCUUCUUCAUUACUUUUUACAAUAAGUUUUCUCAAUAGAUAGAAAAUGAUGACGCUGAGGAGUCAACAUCCGAUAUUAUCAUUGCUUGUAACCCUGUUUUUUUACAUCUCCCCAUAAAACUAGUCUUAGCGAGGAAAAAAAAAAAAAGCUCAUAUUCGAAUAAGUUUAUUCCCCCCUCUGUGGGAAAGAGUCAACCAUGAGCCGAGUUUUGUCAACAGCAAGAACAAGGUCAGACAGCAAUUGUCCAUUUGGUAAAACAAAUACCCGUCUCAAAGCCAUAUUUUACCGUUGCGGAAUGGGGGGAAAACAGACGGCGUUCGCAAGAAGGCAAUCAAAAAAAAACAAACCCCCUCUAACUACCGGUAUUGUCAAGAGAAAGAUGCGAAAAACAGAUGCUUCGCUAGACUAGGAUAAAAUGAGAGAAGAAGCGGAAGGGGAGUCGCUAUCUGUGACAGUUCUACCAAUCGCGAGGAAGAAUCCGUGAAUAUUAUGUCAGCAUUCCGUUCAAACAACGCCGCCGAUCAGAGGGCCAUCUCGCCGGAUCUGUUCAUACCUCACCCCGGUAAGUUUUUUUCUUUACGACUUUAAAUUAUAUAUCAACAGAGAUGUCAAUAAUUUGAUUACUUUCUUUUAGAUUUCUACAUCAAUGAUUUCACGCAAGUGGACUACGGUACGUUUAAAUAAGUAUAUACCAUUUUUUAAACAAGUUUAGAUAGACUUGAUUUAACCAUGCUCUGAUACUUACAGAAACAAUCGAUAAUGCAGUGAGUAACAGCAGAAAUCCGGCCGUUUUCCACGGCGAAUUAGAAGCCAUAUCCCCCGCAGAACCUCCGCUGCCGCCGCAUCGAAGAGAAGACGGCACUAUUUUCGUCUCCGCAUACCGGGAGAACCGCGGAGAAAAAAGUUUUAAAAUCGAAGGUAAACAAUAUGAUGCAUUAUCAGCCAUUUUGUUGAAUAACAGGAUGUGACGGAGUAAUCCGUGUGUGCUAUACCGCCCCUCCCGACCCGGAGCAGAUUUUUAAAAAGUUUUGCUUUAUUUCUCGACAGAGGUAAUCGAGAAUAUACAGACCCCGCCGCAGCGAAAAGAAGAAGAAGAAGACGACGACGUUAUUUUCGUCAACGCAUACCGGGAGAACUGCAGGAAAAUACCUUUUAAACCAAAAGGUAAACAAUAUGAUGCAAUAUCCGUCAUUUCGAUAAAUAUCAGGAUGUGGCGGAGUAAUCCGAGUGUGCUAUACCACCCCUCCCGACUUGGAGUGGUAUAAAGCGAGCUAAAAAGUUUUUUUUUUUUUUUUUUUUUUUUUUAUUAAAUCUUUCUCUUUUUGUUUUAUUUCUCGGCAGCCGAGAUUGCUGAUAUACCUAUUCAAGCCCCCUCCGCUACAGACAAUCGCGCGGAGGAGCGAGGUAAAUAAAAAGUUUUUUUCAUUCUCGAAAAAUAGGAAAGAGGAGGUUGUUUUCUUAAAUCUCUUCUGUUUUAUUUCUCGGCAGCCGAGAUUGCGGAUUUACCUAACCAAUCCCCCGCCGCUACAGACAAUCGGGCGGAGGAGCGAGGUAAAUAAAACGUUUUUUUCAUUCUCAAAAAAUAGGAAGGAUGAGAUUGUUUUCUUAAAUCUCUUCCGUUUUAUUUUCCCCGCCAGAGACCGAUACAGAAAAUCAGACGGAAGAAAAUCAGGCUGAGGAGGAACCGUUCAGAUCGCCUCCUCUCAGGAGAGUGAGAGCUCCUCUCGGAAGACUGAGAGCUCGACGGAUGCUUCAUAAGUAGAGAAUCCUUGAAAAACUCGCUUUCAUGUACGUCGCAACAGUUCGCACAUACGCAUCGAUAUACAGACACAAGGACCUGUAAAGUAAAAGCAUGUAAAAGUCUGUGAAUUAAGAAAUAAAGAAAAUCAUGUCGGAAGAACACAGCAUUCCUGAGGCUUUGUUGGAAGCCGUGGCAGAAUU
ensembl:lncRNA